rnacentral:lncRNA from 1 species
GGAUUUUUAGAUUCCACUCUCAAAAUGUCAGGAGUUGACUUUUCUGGCCCCACAGUUGACUUUUCCCAAACUAUCUGAUUCCCGAUUCCAUUGAUCAAUUGAAGCACUUCUAGCUCAAAUAAAGAGCUGAUUUUUAAGAUUCCACUCUCAAAAUGUCAGGAGUUGACUUUUCUGGCCCCACAGUUGACUUUUCCCAAACUAUCUGAUUCCCGAUUCCAUUGAUCAAUUGAAGCACUUCUAGCUCAAAUAAAGAGCUGAUUUUUUUUAUGUAGACCCUUGUAGACAUAUUGAGGUCCAUGGAAAAGAGUUUCACCCAAAGAAUCAGAAAUAAACUGAUUUUAUACCAAACCCUAGUUUUAGGGCAAAAUGAUAAGGAACUGAUUGCACUAAUUGCCAAUGGAUCUUUCUGAGAUAAUUGUGAAUCUUCCUAGGCCAAGAUGCCUCUCUAAUCAUGACAUGGAUGAGCUCCUCUACUUCUAACCAAACAUUGCCUGUUGCAGGU